rnacentral:misc_RNA from 1 species
AGUCGUAACAAGGUAUCCGUAGGUGAACCUGCGGAUGGAUCAUUACCAAAGGAUUAAUGAUAUGUUUUGUGAACAGUUUUGUAUUUUGGGAAGUCAGUGGGGAGGUUUGGGGUUGUGGUCCGCCGCCGCUUCAAAAAUCAUCGCUGGCUGACUACAUAAAAAAAUGUCUUCUUAAUUCCAAACUGAAGUCUACUUAGUUUCUGAACUAAAACAACUUUUAGCAACGGAUCUCUUGGCUCUC